GUAAAAGAUGCUCCAGAUCCCUCUAAUGUCCCCAAUGGAAAUAAAUGUUACUAUUGUGAUGGACAGAGCUGCUCAAACACAGUGAGUUGUUCAGGGAGUGAAGACCGCUGCUUUAAAGCAACAGGGAGUUCUGGAGGCCAGUCUAUAAAAGGCUGUGUUUCUAAAUCUAUUUGUGAUGCUGCUACACCAGUUGGUGAUGUUCAGGGUGUCUCUUGUUGUUCAGGGAACCUGUGUAACGGUGCUCAGAGUGUCACUCAGAGCUUCCUGUUCCUCUGCUGUUCUCUGGUCUCCUUCAUCCUGCUGCACUGAAUCCAGCAGCUUUACACAUUCUACAAUGAGAUACACUGUACUGAAUAUAGAGAUGGAAUUUUCUCUGUACAACACAUCUUUUGUGUCCUGAUAUAAAAGUUUUUUAUGACAU